AAAGCUAGAUAACCGAAAGUAGGAAUGACCUCCAAACGCUCAUCUUCCUGCCUUAAUGAGAAUAAACAAAAAGAAAACACAGGUACAAGAGGACAUCAGGUCUUUGCAGAAAAGGACACGAGUGAUGCUGCUGCCAUGCUGUGGAGGAUCUUUGCAGCUCGUAUCAGUGUGUUAAUCACAUGGAUUCACGAGCCAAUACAUGGGGUUUGGGGAUGAAAGAGGGAUGAAUGACAUGUUUUGCUCUUUACUCAAUAAAAUAAAGCUGAAGAAAUAUGA